GACGAACGCUGGCGGGCGUGGGAUUAGGCAUGCAAGUCGAACGGUAGGAUACCUUCGGGUAUCUGAGAGUGGCGAACGGGUGAGUAACACGUAGGUGAUCUACCCUCAAGAUUGGGACAACCCAGGGAAACUUGGGCUAAUACCGGAUGAAAGCAGCAGUGAUGUUGUUUGAAAGGUGGCGUAAGCUGCCGUUUGGGGAUGAGCCUGCGCUCUAUUAGUUAGUUGGCGGGGUAAAGGCCCACCAAGGCGAUGAUAGAUAGGCGGCCUUAACGGGUGGUCGCCCACACUGGGAUUGAGAUACGGCCCAGACUCCUACGGGAGGCAGCAGUCGAGAAUAGUCUACAAUGGCCGAAAGGCUGAUAGUGCGACGCCGCGUGAACGAAGAAGCCCUUCGGGGUGUAAAGUUCUUUUAUAUGUGAGCAGUGCUUUCUAUGUGAACAGCAUGGGGAGAGAGAUAUUAGCAUAUGAAUAAGCAACGGCUAACUCCGUG
rnacentral:rRNA from 1 species